rnacentral:rRNA from 1 species
UACGGGGGGGGCAAGCGUUGUUCGGAAUUACUGGGCGUAAAGGGCUCGUAGGCGGCCAACUAAGUCGGAUGUGAAAUCCCCAAGCUUAACUUGGGAACUGCAUCCGAUACUGGAUGGCUUGAAUCCGGGAGAGGGAUGCAGAAUUCCAGGUGUAGCGGUGAAAUGCGUAGAUAUCGGAAAGAACACCAACGGCGAAAGCACUCUGCUGGGCCGACACUGACACUGAGAGACGAAAGCUAGGGGAGCGAAUGGG